CCACCCGCCUGGCCAAGAGUAGAAUUUUUGUUUUCCUCUCCACAGUAACUGGUUCAGAGAUUUAUCCUCACCAGAUCAACAGCAGUUAUUUCAGGACAUUUUGCUGAAGCUAUUAAGAAAGAGAAACUGUUAUUACUCUUUACAUGAACCACUGAGAUACAGGCAUCAAGCUUCUGGGGGCCACGACUGGGAAGGGAACUGCCUGGGAAAUAAAAACAACAUGGAAGAGAGAAGAGUUGAGAGAUGCAGAUGAAGAUCUAGUCCUGAUGAUAACAUCUGAGUGGCUAUAACUCUGUACCUCUUUGUAUUGCUAUUGGAGGAGGUCACCGAGAGGACACGACAGCUGAUUGACCUGCAUGCUGGACUCUGGACAUUCGAGGCUCCUCCACCCCUCCCCCGUCCUUGGAAUGUACAUUCCGCCCACCAUUUCCGCCACUGGAAGCUGUUUGAAGAGCGCAGCCUUGAGAGAGUAAGGUGUUGUUGAGACCAUCUGGACCGAAUAUGCUGACUGAACCCAGUUAAGGCCUCUACAUAAACUUUUAAGACUGGCGGUCGGUGCGGAGAUCUCGUCUUUCGGCUGCUGAAGACAAGCCUCGUGUGUUGCUGGCAACCCUGGAUAAUUGGAAGAGGCCACCAUCCCAAAGUGUUUCUGCAGCUGAUAGCUUCCUCCCAAGAGGAAGGAAGGCAGAGGUGAGUCAAGUGCCUGGUUAAUUGCCUCAAAUUUACACAUCAAACAGAUCAUCUCACCUUCCUAAUGACAAAGAGAGGUGACCAGUUUGUUGAGAAAAAAAUUCUUCCUCAAGUUAGAUAAGAGUGGUAGUGGGGUAAAUGUUCCCAAUUAACGUACUCAGUGAGAAGGUAUGGUGGGGCGGGGUCUUUCUCUGCUGGUCACAGAAGCUUCACAGCACCGUUUUCU